GUAUGUAGCUCAGUGGCAGAGCACUUUCCUAGCAUGUCUGAGGCACUGGGUUCAAUCCUCAGCACCACA
rnacentral:tRNA from 1 species